rnacentral:tRNA from 1 species
GCGGAUGUGGCCAAGUGGAUCAGGGCGGU